CACAGGACCAGCUCUCCUCUUUCCAACUCUCAUAAGGUACCCAGGACUGGGCCUUCUCAGAAGUAGUGCAACUACUCCCAUUCCAGAGAGCCCCCUUCUGGUUUUCAUCUCUCUUGGUUUUCAGGGAAAAGGCAAAAAGGCAACUUUAUUUCAAAGGGCAUUGGAAGGUAACAAAGUUUACAUUUUUGGAUGAUGAUAAUGUUAGAUUUUGUUAUUCAACACAUUGUGGCAUUGGCUCCUGUGCUUCUGUUUUGAUUUAUUUCUACUAACUUUAUAGCUCUUUUAAUACAUUUUGUUUGCCACGUUCUGGAUUUUUAAUCAAAAGGUGGGAUAGCAAUAUUUCAAAAUCAUCCUCAAGGUAUGGUGCAGUUUGUUUAUUUAUUUAGUAAGUAAAUUUCUAUACCACCUUAUACCAAAAUGUCUCUGGGCAGUUAAAGGAAAGGAGCUUAGUAGUCCUUAAUCCUUCCUGGAAUCUCUCCCCACCCUCCAAACUGGGAAUUCCUCCUUCAUGAGUCCCCAUAUUUUCAGCCCUUUAGAGCUACCAGGAUGAAAGAGAUGCACACACCUGCUGCUUUCCCUGCUUCUUCUCCUCUGCUUGGCUCAGGAGGAAACCUUCUGCCAGGGCCACCGCCUGGGAACUGGUCUCUGCUCCACAUUCUCUGACCCAACUCUCCAUCUCUGGGGGCAGGACAGUCAGGAACUGCUCCAGAAUCACCAGGUCGAGAAUCUGCAUCUUCGUGUGCUUUUCUGGCUUCAGCCACUGACGGCAAAGACUGUGAAUUCGGCUGCAAAUCUCUCGGGGGCCCUCGGCUUCCUGGUAGCAGAACUGCUUGAGUCUCUGGUGCUUUGCAACUGAGCUGGUGGUGUCCUCGCCCAGCAUCUUCUGCACGGUUUUUUCCCACAGUUCCUCACUGCUCCCAGCCUGGGUGGCAAGGGAACCUCUUCCUGCUCCAGAGCCAGCUGAGUGUUCCUCUUCCAUCUUCACCCUGUACUCCAAAGCAGCUUCCAAGAAUACUGAAAUAUCUCCUUGUUCUUCUAACUUUGGCAAGACCUUGUGGACCAGAAGCUUGGAUGUCCCUGAUGAAAUCCACUCCCUUGGCUUCACUCAAGAGUCAGUAGACAAAAGGAUAAGGAUCUUGGAGUAAAGAUGGUUCAAUAAGGAGUGCACCAGCAGUGAGAUGCAGAUAUUAUGACGAGACAUGGAAGUGAGAAGGGAUAUUGGGAAGAAAUAGACACAGAUAUUCCUGCUGCUGUGGGAUAAAGAAAAGAUACUUUCACUAAUGUAAAACAUUUUUUGUUUGCUCUGUUCCUUUCCUUUUAUUCUCAUCUCCCCCCCUUUCAUUUUUAGAGUUUGUUAUGCUAUUGAACAGAUUUACCUAGAAACCCCAGUACAUUUAUAUUCAUUAGAAAGGUGACUGUGUUGUACAUGGUUAAUUUUGAUAAGAUUUCAGAUUCAAUGCCACAUGUUAUUAUAUUUGAGAAAUAUUUCUUACAUGUGAGAUUCAUUUGGAAUGUAGACAUUUUGGUGUAACCAUUUCUGCAGCUAAGAUAAUUGAUUAUUCAACACUUUGUAUAACUGUUUCAAGAAACAGAAAAUGGUAUUAUAUUGGGGUAAGAUAAUUUAUAAUUUUAAUAUACAGAGGUUUUUGAUACAUUUUUAUAUUUUGAAAGUCCUAAUACUAUAAUUCCUACACACACACACACACACUUUUUGUUUAACAUUUUAUUGUUAUUUUUACAGCUGCCUCUGAGGAAGACCAUUUUUAGCUCAAAACAUAUCAGGCAUUAAUACAGAAUUGAACAACAUUUAUUCAGCACCUUUGGGAUUCCCCCCGCCUCUCACCCGUUCUUGUUUUCUUGGUGCUUUCAUGGAGAGCAGCACACUGUAAUCAGUGUAUGUCUCAGGAACAAAAUCCUUUCCAGUAAAAACCUGAGGACAGUUACUUUACCAAGGAAAUGCAAUCGCCUCUUUAAUACCACUGAAGACCUGCAAUAGACUGAAACGUGUUUGGUUGGACAAAGAGCUUCCUUGUUCUCCAUAUGUGGCAUCACAGCUGGACCAACUUAAAGCCUCUUUCUACCCAGAUAAAGCACUUCUAGUUUCCCCUUGAGGCAUUAUAAGGCAGUUGGACUGACAUAAAAUCUUGGAUGCUGCUAUUCCUGACGUUGUCUCCUUCUUUGAGACUGGCUACUAGAUAUGGGUAGUUUUAUCUUUACUGUAAUAUGAGAGUUUUGUUUAUAUACAGUGGUCCCUCGACUUACGUAGUUAAUCCGUUCCGAACGGACGUUCGUAAGUCGAAAUUUUCGUAGGUCGAAAAGCGCACCCACGGAGGUCUGGAAACACUCAUAAGUCGAGGCAACCGCAUCUAAAAAUUCGUAAGUCGAGGAAGCCAAAUCUAAACCGCCAACUACUUCCGGUCUUUUUUGGCGUUCGUAAGUCGAAAACGUUGGUUGUCGAGUAGUUCGUAGGUCGAGGGACUACUGUACUUGAUUGUUUACAUACAUAUCAUUUCAGCCUUUUCAUAUUAACUUUUAUAUUUUGUGAGAGUGUAUAUCAGGCAUCCCCAAACUGCGGCCCUCCAGAUGUUGCUGAACUACAACUCCCAGCAUCCCUAGACACAAUUUUUUUGUGGCUGGGUAUGCUGGAAGUUGUAGUUCAGCAACAUCUGGAGGGCCGCAGUUUGGGGAUGCCUGGUGUAUAUGAACAAACCUGUAGAGCUUUAUCUGGAUACAGUCUCUAUUUCAAAUAUAUUUCUACAGAUUAGGAUUCUCUUUGGAUUAGCUCUUGCUAUUAACAAAUCUAAUAUGAUAAAGUUCAGUUUUUAUCUUUUGGGUGACUAGUCUCCCCCCGCCCCCACGGCCAAUCUCUCUUUUCCCUGACAGCCUUAAGGUCCCUCUGCUGAGCUUCUUGGCUGAGCAAGGCUCUGAACCAAGCUCUACCAAGACCAGUUCCAAAAUACUACGUGCUACAGUAUGCUGUUAGUGGCUACUUGCUCACAACAGUGCGCUCUCUCUCCACAUCUUGCUGCAAGAUGAUCAGGGGCCUAGAGCACCUUCCUUAAAAAUCAUGCAUGGUGUAGAGAAAGUGGAUAGAGAUAAAUUUCUCUCUCACACACAUAACACUAGAACUAGGGGUCAUCCCAUGAAAUUGGUUGCCAAGAAAUUUAGGUCCAGCAAACGGAAGUACUUUUUUGCACAACACAUAAUCAACUUGUGGAAUUCUUUGCCACAAGAUGUGGUGACAGCCAACAACCUGAAUGGCUUUAAGAGGGGCUUGGAUAACUUCAUGGAGGAGAGGUCUAUCAACGGCUACUAGCUGGAGGGCUAUAG